rnacentral:rRNA from 1 species
GCAGAGCAUCCUACGGGAGGCAGCAGUGGGGAAUAUUGCACAAUGGGCGCAAGCCUGAUGCAGCCAUGCCGCGUGUAUGAAGAAGGCCUUCGGGUUGUAAAGUACUUUCAGCAGUGAGGAAGGUGGGUAUGUUAAUAGCAUAUUCAUUUGACGUUUAGCUGCAGAAGAAGCACCGGCUAACUCCGUGCCCAGCAGCCGCGGUAAUACGGAGGGUGCGAGCGUUAAUCGGAAUUACUGGGCGUAAAGCGCAUGCAGGUGGUUUGUUAAGUCAGAUGUGAAAGCCCGGGGCUCAACCUCGGAAUUGCAUUUGAAACUGGCAAACUAGAGUACUGUAGAGGGGGUAGAAUUUCAGGUGUAGCGGUGAAAUGCGUAGAGAUCUGAAGGAAUACCGGUGGCGAAGGCGGCCCCCUGGACAGAUACUGACACUCAGAUGCGAAAGCGUGGGGAGCAAACAGGAUUAGAUACCCUGGUAG